rnacentral:rRNA from 1 species
GACGAACGCUGGCGGCGUGCUUAACACAUGCAAGUCGAACGGUGAAGCGCCUUCCUUUUUGGUGGGUGUGGAUGAGUGGCGAACGGGUGAGUAACACGUGAGUAACCUGCCCCCUUCUUCUGGAUAACCGCAUGAAAGUGUGGCUAAUACGGGAUAUUCUGGGUCUGUCGCAUGAUGGGUCUGGGAAAGAUAUUGUUUCGGUGGGGGAUGGUCUCGCGGCCUAUCAGCUUGUUGGUGGGGUGAUGGCCUACCAAGGCGGUGACGGGUAGCCGGCCUGAGAGGGUGGACGGUCACACUGGGACUGAGACACGGCCCAGACUACUACGGGAGGCAGCAGUGGGGAAUAGUGCACAAUGGGAGCAAGCCUGAUGCAGCGACGCCGCGUGAGGGAUGGAGGCCUUCGGGUUGUGAACCUCUUUCGCCAGUGAAGCAGGCCUGCCUCGUUUGUGGGUGGGUUGACGGUAGCUGGAUAAGAAGCGCCGGCUAACUACGUG